AUGUGACAGUGCCUCGUAAAUAAUCAGUACGACGUGGCUAUAAGAAGUGUUCAGAAUCCAGACAAGAGAAUGCGUGAAAAAAACGUUGUUCAAAGGAUACAGGGUAGAGAGGGUCUGACUCAAGAAUGGGAAAAUCCUUAACAAGAAAGAAACGGAUGAAGACAACAGAAGGGGCCAUGGGGCGCUGUGUUGUAUUUUAAAUAGUUAAAUCUGUUAUCAAUUUCUAUUCUGACUUGUAAUGUUAAAAAAGGUAGAGAAAAUGAACUCCCGUUUCUCCGAAUUAGCUAGGCUCGCGUUGAUAAACUACACAGAUUUGAGUCACUGCAAUUAAAAUUGUUUUCCCAAUGUCUCCUUCAAUUCAAUUGUUUUCACUAUGUAUUGCAUGUUUGAGGAUAUUAUAUACUGUUAAACAUGUUUGUAACUUAAUAUGAAUAAAUGGCCAGAAGGUU